rnacentral:tRNA from 1 species
AGAGACUGUGGUUUAGUGACAAAAUAUCUGCUUCAUAUACAGAAGGUCCUAGGUUCAAUUGCUGGUAUCUCAA